GAUGAACGCUGGCGGCGUGCCUAAUACAUGCAAGUCGAGCGAACAGACGAGGAGCUUGCUCCUCUGACGUUAGCGGAGGACGGGUGAGUAACACGUGGAUAACCUACCUAUAAGACUGGGAUAACUUCGGGAAACCGGAGCUAAUACCGGAUAAUAUAUUGAACCGCAGGGUUCAAUAGUGAAAGACGGUUGUGCUGUCACUUAUAGAUGGAUCCGCGCCGCAUUAGCUAGUUGGUAAGGUAACGGCUUACCAAGGCAACGGUGCGUAGCCGACCUGAGAGCGGGCACCGCCCCACUGGACCUGAGCCACGGUCCAGCCUCCUACGGACGGCCGAGAUACGUACUCUUCCGCACUGGGCGAAAGCCUGACGGAGCAGCGCCGCGUGAGUGAUGCAGGUCUUCGGGUCGUAAAACUCUGUUCUUAGGGAAGAACAAAUGUGUAAGUAACUAUGCACGUCUUGACGGUACCUAAUCAGAAAGCCCCGCCUACCUACGU
rnacentral:rRNA from 1 species